UACGAAGGGGGCUAGCGUUGUUCGGAAUUACUGGGCGUAAAGCGCACGUAGGCGGAUAUUUAAGUCAGGGGUGAAAUCCCGCAGCUCAACUGCGGAACUGCCUUUGAUACUGGGUAUCUUGAGUAUGGAAGAGGUUAGUGGAAUUGCGAGUGUAGAGGUGAAAUUCGUAGAUAUUCGCAGGAACCCCAGUGGCGAAGGCGGCUAACUGGUCCAUAACUGACGCUGAGGUGCGAAAGCGUGGGGAGCAAACAGG
rnacentral:rRNA from 1 species